CCUACGGGCGGCUGCAGUGAGGAAUAUUGCACAAUGGGGGAAAUCCUGAUGCAGCGACGCCGCGUGUGGGAAGAAGGAGCUUAGCUUCGUAAACCACUGUCGGAGGGGACGAAUGAUAGGUUAGACCUAUUGAGACGGUACCCUCAAAGGAAGGAUCGGCUAACUACGUGCCAGCAGCCGCGGUAAUACGUAGGAUCCGAGCGUUGUCCGGAGUUACUGGGUGUAAAGGGUGCGUAGGCGGACUUGUGCGUCAGAGGUGAAAUCCACGAGCUCAACUCGUGGGGUGCCUUUGAUACGGCAAGUCUUGAGUUCGAGAGAGGCGGGUGGAAUUCCUGGUGUAGCAGUGAAAUGCGUAGAUAUCAGGAGGAACACCGAUGGCGAAGGCAGCCCGCCGGCUCGCAACUGACGCUGAGGCACGAAAGCGUGGGGAUCAAACAGGAUUAGAUACCCCAGUAGUC
rnacentral:rRNA from 1 species